GAAGGCUUCGCUCAUGAGACUCGCUGAGAUACUUAAAACGUUCACGUAGGUAAGAAGGAGUAGCAGGAUUAAAUACUAUGCAAUAUAACAAAUUAAGUAUGUGAGUAUUCCUGCGAAGGCGAAUUGGGAGCCACUUGAGUUUUUUGCGAAAAUCAGAGAUGUGAUCAUAUUUGCGUAGGCCAAAUAUAAAACGGAUACAUAAAUUUUGAAUGCGCUCAAGCUUAUUAAAAUUGGAUUAAGGUUGUUUAAGACCUCUCGCAAAUUUGUAUGAAAAUCAUUAAUUUUUUGUGCUGCAAUCACUACAACUUAAAAGAAGUCCAAUAAGAACUGAUUUUGAAAAAUUAUA
rnacentral:misc_RNA from 1 species